rnacentral:rRNA from 1 species
UACGUAGGGUGCAAGCGUUAAUCGGAAUUACUGGGCGUAAAGCGUGCGCAGGCGGUGAUGUAAGACAGGUGUGAAAUCCCCGGGCUUAACCUGGGAACUGCAUUUGUGACUGCAUCGCUGGAGUGCGGCAGAGGGGGAUGGAAUUCCGCGUGUAGCAGUGAAAUGCGUAGAUAUCGAGAGGAACACCAGUGGCGAAGGCGAGUCCCUGGACAACUCCUGACACUGAGGCACGAAAGCUAGGGGAGCAAACAGG